rnacentral:rRNA from 1 species
UACGGGGGGUGCGAGCGUUAAUCGGAAUUAUUGGGCGUAAAGGGUGCGUAGGUUGUUAAACAAGUUAUCUGUGAAAUUCCUGGGCUUAACCUGGGGUGGUCAGAUAAGACUGUUUGACUAGAGUAUAGGAGAGGGCAGUGGAAUUUCCGGUGUAGCGGUGAAAUGCGUAGAGAUCGGAAGGAACACCAGUGGCGAAGGCGGCUGUCUGGCCUAAUACUGACACUGAGGCACGAAAGCGUGGGGAGCAAACAGG